ensembl:lncRNA
CCUCCAACUGAUCCAGGAAACUGAGGUGUUUGGCAAACUCAAAAUGAAUAUCUCAAGAGUAUUCAGGAUAAGAGUCUGAAAUGAGAACAUGGGCUGCUGAAAUGCAUGGCAAGUUAAAACAUGGGAAAAAAGUGUGACAGAGGAUUAAUCCUGGCUUGAAAAGAAGUUGCAGGUUUGCACCAAUACAUUGUUCAACUUCUUUUUUUUGUUUAUAAUUGAUGUGGAAAAUGUGAAGUCAUAAAGCUCUGUGUGACUGCAGGAUGUCAGGAUAAAACAGCAGGUAAGGAAGUGUUCUAAACACCAGGAAAACUUCAAUAAUUUGCUGUUUGAG